rnacentral:rRNA from 1 species
ACAUCCAGCGAACUUGGCAGAGAUGCCUUGGUGCCUUCGGGAACGCUGAGACAGGUGCUGCAUGGCUGUCGUCAGCUCGUGUUGUGAAAUGUUGGGUUAAGUCCCGCAACGAGCGCAACCCUUAUCCUUUGUUGCCAGCGAUUCGGUCGGGAACUCAAAGGAGACUGCCGGUGAUAAACCGGAGGAAGGUGGGGAUGACGUCAAGUCAUCAUGGCCCUUACGAGUAGGGCUACACACGUGCUACAAUGGCGCAUACAAAGAGAAGCGACCUCGCGAGAGCAAGCGGACCUCAUAAAGUGCGUCGUAGUCCGGAUCGGAGUCUGCAACUCGACUCCGUGAAGUCGGAAUCGCUAGUAAUCGUGGAUCAGAAUGCCACGGUGAAUACGUUCCCGGGCCUUGUACACACCGCCCGUCACACCAUGGGAGUGGGUUGCAAAAGAAGUAGGUAGCUUAACCUUCGGGAGGGCGCUUACCACUUUGUGAUUCAUGACUGGGGUGAAGUCGUAACAAGGUAGGCGUAGCGAG